AACGCACAUUGCGCCCCUCUGGUAUUCCGGGGGGCAUGCCUGUCCGAGCGUCAUUGCUGCCACUCAAGCCCGGCUUGUGUGUUGGGCCUCCGUCCCCCCCACCCGGGGGGACGGGCCCGAAAGGCAGUGGCGGCACCGUGUCCGGUCCUCGAGUGUAUGGGGCUCUGUCACCCACUCUGUAGGCCUGGCCGGCGCCUGCCGACCCCCAUCUUCCUUUUUUUUUCAGGUUGACCUCGGAUCAGGUAGGGAUACCCGCUGAACUUAA
rnacentral:misc_RNA from 1 species